rnacentral:lncRNA from 1 species
CCCGAGGUGGACGCGCGGGUUUACUUCCUCUCCGGCCCCACGGGCGCGCUUCCCUCCUGACGGAUUCCGAAGCCCGCCCCACCACCGUCACCGCACCAGUGGCCCAGGCUUCGUGGGACCAACAGGGCUAAUCCUGCCCCACGGAUCUAAUCCGGAUCGGGACCCGGUCCCAGGGGAGGCCCCCACCUCCCCUUCUAUUGUUCUGUGGCCCAGGAAGCUUUAAGGAUCGUUGUUAAAGCACACCAGGUUAAAGGAGUCACAUUAAAAGCUGGUCAUUCUGAGCCGGGCGCGGUGGCUCACGCCUGUAAUCCCAGCACUUUGGGAGGCCGAGGCAGGCGGAUCACCUGAGGUCGGGAGUUCGAGGCUUGACAAACAUGGAGAAACCCCGUCUCUAUUAAAAAUACAAAAGUAGCCGGGCGUGGUGGCGCGUGCCUGUAAUCCCAGCUACUUGGGAGACUGAGG